rnacentral:rRNA from 1 species
UACGAAGGGUGCAAGCGUUAAUCGGAAUUACUGGGCGUAAAGCGCGCGUAGGUGGUUUGAUAAGUUGGAUGUGAAAGCCCUGGGCUCAACCUGGGAACUGCAUCCAAAACUGUUUGACUAGAGUACGGUAGAGGGUGGUGGAAUUUCCUGUGUAGCGGUGAAAUGCGUAGAUAUAGGAAGGAACACCAGUGGCGAAGGCGACCACCUGGACUGAUACUGACACUGAGGUGCGAAAGCGUGGGGAGCAAACAGG